rnacentral:lncRNA from 1 species
CUCACUUUGGGGUCGUCCCCCCCCCCCCCUCCUCCCUCCACCUCCUCAUGAAGCGCAGUUUGGGGGGUCCCCCCCCGACCCCCCCCCCUCCUCCCUCCUCCUCCCCCCCCCCUCCAGAGGGUGGGCGGGGAUGGGGGGGCGGGGGGGGGGCGGCGGCGUCGUCCUCAUCGCUGAGGUCGGUGACCUCCACUUCCUCCGAGUCCACUUCCGGUGGGGUGGGGGGAGGGGUGGACCCCCCCGGGCCAGCCGAGGGGUGCACGUGACCGGAAGCGACCCCGUGGCCGGAAGGAAGCCCCGGACCGGAAGUGACCCCUCGACCGGAAGCGACCCCGGGGCUGACGUUCCCGCGACCCGGAGCGACCCCGUCGCCUUCGCCCCCGCCGUGACCUGAGGUGACCCCUUGACCUGAGGUGACCCCGUGACCUGAGACGACCCCGUGAGCUUUGGUAACCUCUUGACCGGAAGUGACCCCGUGACCGGGCGUGACCCCAGCUGCCUCUCCUUGACCCGAAGUGACCCCGUGACCCGAAGUGACCCCGGGAGCCUCUCCUUGACCUGAGGUGACCCCAUGACCUGCAGUAACCCCGGGAGCCUCUCCUUGACCCGAAGUGACCCCAUGACCGGAAGUAACCCCACCAGCCUCAUUCUGACCUGAAGUGACCUCGCGACCCGCAGUAACCCCAUGACCGGAAGUAACCCCAGAAGCCUCACUUUCACCCGAAGUAACCCCGUGACCCGAGGUAACCGCGUGACCGGAAGUACCCCCGUGACCCGAAGUAACCCCACCUCCCUCUCCUUUCCCCCUCCCCCUCCUCCCGGGCGGGGGGGGCUGCAACUUAAAGGCGAAGGGGGGGGGAGGGGGGGUCGGGGGGGGGUCCCGAUGGGGGUCCCGAUGGGGGUGGGGGGGGGGGCGGGGGGGGGGAGGGGCCAAAAAGGGGCGGGGGCUGAGAUGGUACGCGCACACCCGGGCGGCCAAACAGCGCGCCAGGUCUUCCGCACUGAAGGAGAAGUGGGGGGACCCCCCCCCACCGCCGCCCCCCCCCCCCGAAGUGGGGAGACCCCCCCGAGCCGAAGUGGGGCGACCCCCCCCCGAAAUGCGGCGACCCCCC